GACGAACGCUGGCGGCGUGCCUAAUACAUGCAAGUAGAACGCUGAAGAGAGGAGCUUGCUCUUCUUGGAUGAGUUGCGAACGGGUGAGUAACGCGUAGGUAACCUGCCUUGUAGCGGGGGAUAACUAUUGGAAACGAUAGCUAAUACCGCAUAACAAUGGAUGACACAUGUCAUUUAUUUGAAAGGGGCAAUUGCUCCACUACAAGAUGGACCUGCGUUGUAUUAGCUAGUAGGUGAGGUAAUGGCUCACCUAGGCGACGAUACAUAGCCGACCUGAGAGGGUGAUCGGCCACACUGGGACUGGGACACGGCCCAGACUCCUACGGGAGGCAGCAGUAGGGAAUCUUCGGGAAUGGGGGCAACCCUGACCGAGCAACGCCGCGUGAGGGAAGAAGGGUUUCGGAUCGUAAAGCUCUGUUGUAAGUCAAGAACGGGUGUGAGAGUGGAAAGUUCACACUGUGACGGUAGCUUACCAGAAAGGGACGGCUAACUACGUG
rnacentral:rRNA from 1 species